GCCUGGGUGGCUCAGUUGGUUAAGCGGCUGACUUCAGCUCAGGUCAUGAUCUCACGGUUCGUGAGUUCGAGCCCCACAUCGGGCU
rnacentral:tRNA from 1 species